UACGGGGGGAGCAAGCGUUGUUCGGAUUUACUGGGCGUAAAGGGCGCGUAGGCGGUCGUGACAAGUCACUUGUGAAAUCUCCGGGCUUAACUCGGAACGGUCAAGUGAUACUGUCGGACUAGAGUACAGAAGGGGCAACUGGAAUUCUCGGUGUAGCGGUGAAAUGCGUAGAUAUCGAGAGGAACACCGGUGGCGAAGGCGGAUCUCUGGGCCUGUUCUGACGCUGAGGCGCGAAAGCUAGGGGAGCGAACAGG
rnacentral:rRNA from 1 species